rnacentral:lncRNA from 1 species
UAGGAGAAGAAGUUCUGAGAAGACUGACUACAGAUUGGCUGGCCUGGCUGACCCAGGAACUUCUGAGCAGACUGACCUCAGAUUGUAUGGCCUCGUUGACCACAAAACAUCUGUAAAGACUCACCACCAAGUGUACGGCCAAGCCACUGAACUAGCUGAACACCAGGCUAUUGACCAAGCUCAUAGUAAUGCUGAUCAACCUCCAGUUGACAAUGCUCACUACACUGAAUCUGACCAGACUGACCACUUAGCAGACAGACAAGCUAAUCAUAAAGACCAGCUGUCUUACUAUGAAACACGUGGCCAGUCUGAAGACAGAAUAUUUCCCCAGUUAGGCAACAGCAAAGAGGACAAAGAGGCUGACUACAGAGUACAACCCUGCAAAUUUGAGGAUAGCCAAGUAGACCUCAAUUCCAAGCCUUCAGUUGAAAUGGAAACUCAGAAUGCAACCACUAUCCCACCCUACAACCCAGUUGAUGCCAGAUUCACCAGUAACUUCCAAGCAAAAGACCAAGCUCUUUUCCCAAGACUCCCCUCCAUCUCAUCCAAAUUGAACUAUACCAGCAGUCAAGAAAAAACUCAAGCCAUAGUAACCAAAUCUAUUACUGAAAACUUAGUCUAUGAAAAGCCAGAGGACCCCCUGAAUUUUAUGCUGUGCCAGGUAUAGAAUUGGAGAAAAAGAACAACC